AGCUAGCUAACGUUAGCUACAUUAAUUAUUGUUAUAGCCAAUGUAUUGGCUGCAUUACUUUUUAUAACUAAGUUUAACGACUGAUAACAUUAACCAUAUAUUGUUAGCUAGCUACGUUAUACUGUGUCAUUAGCUGGGUAGCUAGCUAGUUAGAAUACCAGCCAGAGCCAUGACGUAGGCGGGAUAUCUCUUCCCUGUGCGCUGCCAAUUAACAAUACAUUCUUUAAAAUUGUCGCACGUCCCAUCAAACUCGUCAAUAUUUUCCACUGAAACAAUUUCUGAUGUCCCUUAAAAAAAUCCACAAGUUUUGCUUGUGCUGCAAAGUGCAAACUGAGAGUAAACCGUGUUCUUUGAUUGCACCUAGUUUUCUACAUUUUUUACUUUCGCCUUUUAUGCUUUGCCGCAAAGUUUAUCUUAUAGCUGGCUACGGAAUCAGUUUCAUUAGCAGUUGACAUGAUGCGAGCAGUUUUCAACAAUUAGAUCAUUUGCUAAGUAAGAAAUGCCUCCAGUCCGAGUGAUAAAGGGACCAUAUAAAAUAAAAUGGAUGCGUGAUGAAAACUUCCCUUUUCCUCGACAGACCAGGUCAAGCAGGAAUAUUAAGGACCCUCUAACACACCCCAAUCAACCUGGCUGUGAUGAUUUAGACUGUGAUGAUGCCCCUGAGAUCCGCACCAAGUGAUUAGGACCCCCUGACACACCACAAUCAACCUGGCUCUGAUGAUUUAGACUAUGAUGAAGCCCCUGAGAU